UGGCUAACUCCUACGGGAGGCAGCAGUGGGGAAUCUUGCGCAAUGGGGGGAACCCUGACGCAGCGACGCCGCGUGCGGGACGGAGGCCUUCGGGUCGUAAACCGCUUUCAGCAGGGAAGAGUCAAGACUGUACCUGCAGAAGAAGCCCCGGCUAACUACGUGCCAGCAGCCGCGGUAAUACGUAGGGGGCGAGCGUUAUCCGGAUUCAUUGGGCGUAAAGCGCGCGUAGGCGGCCCGGCAGGCCGGGGGUCGAAGCGGGGGGCUCAACCCCCCGAAGCCCCCGGAACCUCCGCGGCUUGGGUCCGGUAGGGGAGGGUGGAACACCCGGUGUAGCGGUGGAAUGCGCAGAUAUCGGGUGGAACACCGGUGGCGAAGGCGGCCCUCUGGGCCGAGACCGACGCUGAGGCGCGAAAGCUGGGGGAGCGAACAGGAUUAGAUACCCGGGUAGUCCAGCUGG
rnacentral:rRNA from 1 species